GCCUGCUCCCCGCGCGCCCGCGCCACACGCGCCCGCCUGCCCGCGCCCCCCGGUCACGCUCGCCCCCGCCCGCGCCUCCGCUCGUCACCACCUGUCUCAAAACAGAGGAUUCAUAUAUACUAUAGAUAUAGCUUCUUCGCAAGGCUCUAAUCAUCUCGGGACAUGGCUUCUCGAAGAAAAUUGUGAAGCUCCCUCAGGAAAGCUGUUCUUGAUUUCUCCUCUUCGCCGUGCUCGCCCUGCAGAAUAGGCGGCGUCGCAGCCGCCAAGAUGCCCCCGGUUCCACAAAAGCUCUUCAGAGAGACCAGGCUCGGCUUGUAGUCCCCAAAAAUCUGCCAUUUCUUCGGAACACCGGACAUUACACAAUCCCAGGAUUGUGGUGAUGAGUUAUUUCCGAAUGACGACUUUCGCGUAUCGUAGAUCGCCAAUUUAUAACCGUACUGCAAAACAAAUAAGAACUUAUUGCCAACGCAUACGCUUGUUUCGUCAAAGUUGGCGCGAAAUGGCAGUUUGUAUGUGCAUAAAUGCUCCCAUUGGUUGUGCUCGUAGUCUUUCAGCACCCACAGUUCUGCCAGCUCGCUCGAAAAUUUUGCAGCCAUCAUAGCAAGCUGUCCUGCAAACUCGAAGGUGCAGAUUUGAUUAAAUGCAUCUAUGCGCAUAAGUGAAGCACAGACUGGAGGCUCUAAACUUCUAAUCUCUUCGCUCACCGCAUCGGCUGACAUGAUCUUCAUAUUACAGAGAUCGCAAAAAGCAAUUGUUGUCCAAAAAAUCUUUCCACCGAUAUAUAGUCCGGUGCCAAACGUCAGAAGCUCAACAUCACUACAAACUCUCCUCCAUGAUCCAUGGCUCCCUAAAGUGCACACUUCGCAUAUCGAUUUUUCACUGGAAUGAAGAGAAAUAGAAAAACGGAAAACUUUGUACACCUUUCUUAGCGGGUCGAAAC